UGGAGGAACGAACGACUGCGAUUAAAUCUUCCAGAAAAACAUUACUCUUUCUCUCUCUACUUCCAACCAACGAGACCAUUUUUCUCUCUCUAGUUCCAAACGAACGUUCAAAUUUAGCUUAAAUGCGCAAGUUCAUCUCAAACUUGUUGUCGAUUCGAGAUCAUAACUUGGUGAUUCAAUCCAAAUUUUCUUAAAGAUAGAGCUUGAAUUUUAUUAAAUUUGAUCGAUAUAGGUUUAAUUGAAGUUUACGUCUCUAAUUGUGGCAAGUGGAUUUGCUGGAGGUGUCGCCAAGGCUGCUAGCAAUCAUUGUUUUUUCAGGACUGGGAGUUGUGAUACGAGGGAGUGAGGGCGAGGUAUUGGCAUGCUCAGUUUGGCAGGGGGUGGAGAAGUGGGAAACUCGAGUUGCCGAAGCAAAGGCAGUUCUAGUGGGGAUGCAGGUCUGCAGGGAGAUGGGAGUGCGCAGGGUGAUAAUUGAGAGUGACUGCCUGGCGGUAAUUCAAGUCCUACGAAGUGGAGCAAGUGGCAGCAGCAGCUAUGCUCUUGUGGUGGAUGAUAUCCUAGCUAUGUGUUCUUACUUUGAGAAUGUUUUAUUGGCUUUUGUUAAACGUAGUGGCAACAAAGUUGCCCAUAGUCUUGCUCACUUCCAACCCUAGGAUUAUGGGCAACAAACAUGGAGCAACGAUGUGCCGAACUCUAUCUUGCAAGCAGCUACAGCUGAUUUAUUAAUAUAAGCUACCUUAAAUGGGUUCCUUCAAAAAAAAAGAAUAAUAGUUGAUAAUUAAGACGAUGUGGUUACACAAACUGAUAAAGUAACUAAAAUUGUUAAGUGUUGGUGGCUUAGAAACAAUCUUGGGACUAGGUUCAGAGUUGUUGGAAGCGUCUAGUUUCUGCACAACGACCUGAUCAUGUGUGGAUGCAGUAAUAUUGUGGUGUAUCUUGGUGAUUUUUGGGAGGUUGUGUGCUAAGGUAGGUGAUGGCUUGUGGUUAAGAUGUAUGCAGGCGAAUACGAGAUUGUGUUGAACUUGAUUUGUGUGUUCAAUUAGUUUUUAUCCUAAUGUGUUUUGUUUACUUUUGGAGAGAUUAAAUUUACUUUUCAAGAGAUUUAGUUUACUUUUAGGGUCUGGUUUACAACCUUGUUCUUUUUUUGUGGUUUGAUUGCUAGUUUGAGAUUUAGUUGCUGAGUACAAGAAACAAGAUGUCUUUCACAUAUCAAAUUUUAAAAGGAAGACUCAUGUCAUGCAUGUGCCGGCUGUUUAUCAGACGACAAGAAGUCAACUGUUGUAAAGGAUGAUAAAAGCAUCCAGGACGAGUAUUUCAAAGCUUAUUAUGCUGCUAUAUUGGAACGACAACGGGAAACAGAUGUCAAGGGGGAGCCGGAUGUAUCUAGUGAAGAAGUUACGGGUCAAAACACAAGUUGGCUUGAAAUCAAAAUGCGAGGAACAGAGUGAGGAUGAGGAUGUAUGGGAAGAAGCUACACUUUCAGGAAAAUGGAACACUGGGGAAAGCUACAAGGUGGACUUGAACAUUAAAGCCGAACCUCUACCGGAGGAGGAGGAGAAUAACGAUGACGAAGAUGUUGAGUGGGAAGAUGGUUAGUUGCUAGUAUAGGUUUACAUUGGUAAGCUGCUUGAAAUAGUCACUCAUAAAGUAGUAUUUUCUCUUAUUUUAAAAAGUAGAUCGAAACUUGGUAGAAGUAAAUCAAAUAGGCUGAGAAGUAAUCCGUGAAGAUGAUAGUGUUCUAUGUUGUUCUCUGCUGCUGUCAUUUGUUUCUGUUGGUCUUUUUGUGUCUGUUCUAAGUCUGGGGUGCAGAGCUGGAUGUUGGGGUUGUUUUUACUGCUCCGGAGUGUUCAGUUCUCGUCUGUUGUUUAGUUGGUGCUUAGUUGGUGCUGAUGUCUGUUUGUUGUUUGUUCACUGUUGAUCUGCAAAAAAAGAUGUCUGUCACAGCUUGUAUCACUGUUGACAAUGCAGAUUCGUGUAAAUUAUUGACAGAGAUGGUGUUGACGGAUGUUUCUCUAUUUUGAUCUUCUAUUUGAAUGUACCGCAUUUAUCAGCA